AGACUCAAAAUCUACCAGAGGUACCAUUGAGAAAGAGGAAAUGAAAGGAAUAAAUUUUGUGUUCAGAAAGCAAGUAUCACAAACAACAAAGAAGUGAAUAUCCAUCACAACAGAACAUCAGGAUCUGAGCAUCACUACUUUGGACAAAGGGGCUUGCUUGGCCAUUAAAGGGAGGAUUUACAAGCCAACCUCUCAGCUGAAAGUCUGCAAUCACAUGCAAGAAAAUAUUGUUUGCCCCUACUCCCUAUUGAU